GCAAACGUGCAUGGGCUGGUAAAUUUAGUAGCCUGUUCUUCAUUUUUUUUAAACAAACCAAAACGAAAGAAAAAACUGUGAGGGAACCCGCGGCGGAACGGAACCACCCCCAAUAGUUUUGCCUAUAUUUUGCAAAGAGGACUUCGUAUGAGUUCACCCAGUAAAGUCGAAGAACAAAAUGGAACGUUACGAUAACCUAAAGGGAAAGUCGGACACUUCUUGCGAGUUUUAAGAAGAACAUCUAAACGUGUUAACUGUUAACUUAAGGAAAAUACCCUUAGGCAACUGUUGACAACGACGAGCGAAGCCAGCCAACUAGUAAAUUCCGCUUCCUUUUUGAUAAGUAUUGACUACGGGGAGGGUGACGAGAGGAAAGUUGUCCUUCUUUAUACGGCUCUUGAUCUCAGCCUUGGUCACAAUUUUCCAUGACGCCUAGGUCCCCACUUUUAAAUUUAUGCACUUCUUUUCAUUAUUUAAUUUAAAUUCUAUUUUACACACUAAUUAUAUUUUCUCACGUU